rnacentral:sRNA from 1 species
UUUGAUGGAAGUGAACCUGAAAACGUCACGUCCUGUGACAAUGGUUAACUGACCUGUAUCACGCAGG